CAGAUGUACAAAAUAAAACAUCUGGUUUGAAUUAAAAGUUUUAAUUGGAUAUUUGCUACAUGAUGACAAACAUCAAUAUGUCACGAAUAUCUGGACAUCUGACAAUAGAAAAAGACGCUGAAUUUUUUCUAGCUCAGAAUACUUCCCGUCACUUAGAACACAUUAUGCCACUCGUGGAGCGGUUCCGGAAGUCUUUCCUGAGAGUCUUUGUGAAGUGUGAUGGAAGUGUGAGGAGUGCCAUCCAAGGGAAAAGCAGGCUUGCAAGGAAAGCUUAAGGAGUCCUCGUCCACAUUAUCCACCGUAUCUGGCCCUCUGUGACUUCUUGCUCUUCCCCAAAAUCAAAGUGACCGUGGAAAGUAAAGGUUUUAAAUCAGUUCAGGAUACCAAAGCAACCACAACAGUAUAACUGAAGAAACUUACGAAGAAAAAUUUCCAGAACUGCUUCAGAAAGUGGCAAGCAUGGUGGGAUAAAUGUCUUUGAAGCAAGAGGCAGAGGAGUAUGUUUUUACUGUAAUAAUUUUUUCAAAAGUAAAUAUUCCCUCUGAGAGGGAGGGGAAUAUAAUUUUUACUGCAGUAAAUCUAUUUUACUUAGGGGCACACUGUAUUCUUUUUUAUCAUAGUUUGUAUAUAGGUGACAGGUAAAAAAUCCAAAGGCAAAAUGGGAAAGCGUUCCUGUCAUGGAAGGCAUUAGAAGUAGACCUCCAAAAUAGGUAGGAAAACAGCAGAAUGAAAGGGAAGACACGUCUUCCCAAACCCAGGAAACAGAGCUCAAAGGCAAAGAGGUAAGCAGGAAAGUUAAGAAUAUUAUUAGCACAUUUACAUCUAUUUGUAGUACAUACAACUGCAAUACGUGCACCUGAAAUCACAGAAUUUAAUGCUAAUGCUUUGCCUUAAGAAUAAAUGCCAA
rnacentral:lncRNA from 1 species